rnacentral:tmRNA from 1 species
GGGGAUGAACUGGUUUCGACGGGGAGUGGGAUGGUCGGAAUAGCAUCUCGUGAUCUCCGUAGUUCACGUUAAUCAUGCGGAAAACUCUUAAGUGCCAACUAUAACUACGCACUCGCUGCUUAAUUAGUUAACCAGCGCAUCCUUUGCCGUUUCUCCCGAUGAGCGGCAACAGGGUGUCGAAUUAGUCGGGAUGGUUCCAGAUCAUGUUCAGGGGUUUGGGAUGAGAUGUACUGAGCUGGGCAUCGGGUAGUGUGUUUAUUCCAUAGCUUGAUGUCGAGAAAAUGAUGAAUAGACUAAAGAUGUAGAAGUUCCGGUGGUCUUCUCUUCGGACCGGGGUUCGAUUCCCCGCAUCUCCACUC